rnacentral:lncRNA from 1 species
UAAAAUCAGCCUUUCUGGCCCAGUGAUUGUUUUCCUUCCCUCCUUCUACAUGCCUAAGUCUUUUCUCCACCUCUCCAGAUUCCCUCUUUCUCUGCUAGUGGAUGGCUAGGGAAGGUGGGCCGAGGGGUGAGGACUGGAGGGAAGGGUAGAUAGGGUAUGCUGAGAGCCUUUUUUAUUCCACAGGAAAGCAUGUACCUCAGGGCUCGGUGGGACUCAUGGUGGCAAUCAUUUACCAGGAAGACCCAUUCUCCAGUUGGUCACAGCUUGUUUUGUUCAAAUGAGCAUACAUUUACCGAGGGCUCACUAUGUGUCGGGCUUCGGGAUGGUACACAAAGAUAAGAAGACGUGGCUCCUGGCCUGGUGCAGUAUCUGGUCAGUGACUUGAGGGUUAUCUUCAGCCUCUUGGUACCCCUCUGUCUUCUUUUGGUAACUGUACUUUCAUUCUCUUUGGGAACUACCCCUCUCCUGUUCUGCACAGUCUUGGCCAGUGUGGCAAGCAAAGAGCCCUGGACACCAAGGGCUGGACACAUGUUGAGGCUUGGCCAGGUGGACUCUCUCAAGUGCUUUGACUCAUUAGCAGAGAGACAAAGAUGGAAGACGAAUGACACUGAGUUCAAGUAGACCUGAAGAAGCUGUUCGUUCACUCACCUCUGCUCCAGGGUCCCUGGCACAACCCUGAUUACUGAGAAUCUGGAUUGGCAUGAAGGGAUGUCUGUUGAGCGGCGGUUGUAGGAGACAUUUCUUUGCCCCAAGGAAAAGCUAGAAAAUUUGAUCUCUUUCUUCUCCGGGAUCUGGUCAUGUGGACAUGUGACUCUGGGAUCUGUGAAGCCUUGUUGCUGCCAGUUGGAGGAUGAAGCCAACACUGAGGAGGCCGAGCAGGAUGAGGGAUCUAUCUCCUUGAUCCUGCCAUUGAGCCAUGGACCCACUGCCUUGAAGCUGCAUCUCUGGACUUUACACUGCGUGAAAUAAUACAUAUCUUUAAUGUUUAAGCCAUUUUAGUUGUGUUUUCUAUUACUUUAGCUAAAAGUACCAUUACUAAUACUGAUGUCUCUGCUUUCAGCGAUGCAUCCCAAAAGCAGUGGGAGGAUUAAAAAAAUAUUCUGUAAUCGCAAUGAAUUGGGGAAGGAAUUUUCUCCUCUUGUAAGAAAGAAUUACUUCCUAAAAAGUUUCUCAGAAGCCAUUUUUUGGAAUGUAACUCUAAAACCUUUCUUAAAAUAGAAACUAUCUACAUACCUGUAUUAUGCUUGAUAUGUUUGAUCUAUAGCUCUCGACUUUUUUUGAGACAGUGUCUUGCGAUGUUGCCCAGGUUGGAUUCAAACUCCUUGACUCAAGCAAUUCUCCCACCUCAGCCUACUGAGUAGCUGGGACUACAGGUGUCCACUCCCAUGCCUGGCCCUAUCUAUAUUUUUUGGAGAGGCGACACAUAAAGUUAGUAAGCAUAUCAUAAUUGGGGACAUAUCAACUCACAGAAAACAAACAUUUCAGGAUUGUGUUAGUCUGUUGGUGAAUUCUUCUCUUUUUCCUCCUCUUUUCCUCCUCCUUCCUCUCUUUCUUUAUCCAUACUUUCUACAUAAACAUUUUGGGAUAAAAUUUGAGAAGGAAUAUUUUAAAAUGUGAUUUGCAAGCUGGAUCAGUUUUAAGACCGAGUUUGCUAGCCCUUGAUUAUCUCCCUGUCCACAUCUUUUCCAUGCAUGCCAGCAGGGAAGGGGCAUGAAAGCAACGAAGGCCUUUUGAAGGGUGCUCCCAUCCACACCUAUUCUAUCCACACCUUUAUCUCAUGGCCAUUAAACCCCAGGCAUCCAUUCUGGACUCUGGUUCUUAGUGGAAGACGUUUCUUUCCUGCUAACCAUACAGAUUGGGCUUAGUGCAAUCUGGGGCUAUUUAUGUCUCCAUAUCCCAAGGCAAUGAUGAUAACUGAUAGCAUAGUGAAUCAAAGAAGCCAUGUUAGUGUGCUGUCCCACUGCUUGACAGCUGUCUGAGGGAUUCACUUAUAUACUCUCACUGCUGGAGCUUCAGCAAAGGUGACUCUGAAAUUGCAUGGUGAAAUUGAUCCUGGGCCAUUCAGUGAGGAGACUCACGCAUGUGGGAGGCUCAUCUCCCAACCAGUCUCCCACAGUCCUGUGUCCCACCCCUCCCCCCGCCCUCCAAUGCUCUCUUCACAUUGCAGACCCUCCUGGCACUCUUAAAAAUGAUUUUUGGUCAUGCCACUCUCUUUCGCUUAAAUACCUUUGUUAGCUCCCUGUCACUUAGGGAUAAAAUUUAAAUGUCUUUCCUUGGCAUCCCUGAGUGUUUUGAGCCUGGCUUACAAUUUAAAAAUUUUUUAGAAAAUCAAAUAAUACCUACCAUGGUUAAAAAAUAAAUAAAGAGGCUCAAAACAGUCCCUUGAUCCACCUUUCUCAUCAUCCUUUAUCCAUAGAGACCCUCACUUUUUUAUUUUUAAUUUUCGUGGGUACAUAGUAGGUAUAUAUAUUUAUGGGUUACAUGAGAUAUUUUGAUACAUGCAUGCAAUGUGUAAUAAUCACAUCAGGGUAAAUGGGGUAUCCAUCACCUCAAGCAUUUAUCCUUUAUGUUACAAACAAUCCAAUUAUGCUCUUUUAGUUAUUUUAAAAUGUACAGUUAUUUUUGACUAUAGUCACCCUAUUGUGCUAGCAAAUACUAGGUCUUAUUCAUUUUAUUUUUGGUACCCAUUAAGCAUUCCGCCUGUACCCCCAAAACCCACUACCCUUCCCAGCCUCUGGUAAACAUCCUUCACUCUUUAUCUCCAU